AUCUCGCGGUCCGUGAGUUUGAGCCCCACAUCCGGCUCUGGGCUGAUGGCUCAGAGCCUGGAGCCUGCUUCCGAUUCUGUGUCUUCCUCUCUCUCUGCCCCUCCCCCGUUCAUGCUCUGUCUCUCUGUCCCAAAAAUAAAUAAACGUUAAAAAAAUAAAAUAAAUAGGCCUAAGUUUGUAAUUCUGGGAAUGUAUUUGUUUUUUAAUUAACAUCUAAGAAAAACUUGGUCAAUCUUGUUUCUUCUGCCUUUUUCCUGCUAUAUUUUAAAGCAGACCUUUGCUAAUAUGGCAUUUCACCAUACAUACUUCCUUACUGGCAAUUUAUUUAACCUCUGGGGGCCCUCUCUACCGAAAUGGAGAAAAUAUUCCCUGCUUUAUUAUUUCAUUAAAAAACUCUGUGAGGUGAAAACAUUUUGGAAGUAAGAAUGCUAACAAAAUGAAAGCACUACUGAUUCUAGAUUAUGUCAGGGUGUCCUCUCCAAGGUAAAAACUCUGAUUUGUUUUAAAAUGAAAGUAGUGAGGGACACCUGGGUAGCUCAGUCGGUUAAGCGGGCAACCUUGGUUUUGGCUCAGGUCAUGACUAUCUCACAGUGUGUGGGUUUGAGCCCUGUGUCGGGCUCCCCGCUGGCAGUGUGGAGCAUGCUUGGGAUUCUCUCUCUCUCUCCCUCUCCCCCCCUCUCCUCACUUGCCCUCUCUCUCAAAAUAAAUAAACUUAAAAAGUAUUCUAGAAAUGUGGGUGUGCCUACAGCACUCAUACUGUAUUGAAAAAAAAUGAAAAUAGUGAAUCAAGGGAUGCUUGGCUGGGUCAGUCGACAGAGCAUUUGACUCUUGAUCUUGGGGCCACGAGUGAAAGUUUACUAAAUAAAUAAAAA